rnacentral:lncRNA from 1 species
GAAGUUAAGUGAGGUUUCAUCGAGGCUCCAAGUCGCGGUUCGUAUCCUUACAUAAAAAUAAUGAAAGCUAAUAGUCAAAAGGAAAAUAAAAGUACAAGCUCCUAUCUAUACAGCUUCUCUUGAGUCUUCACUUGUGUUUUUACUUUCAGAUAUCACCUUGAUUUUUGGGUGAGUAUCUUGAUCUUGAAUUGGAUUGAGGCUUAACUUGCCGCUUAGAGUGAGCUUUUGGCACUCUUCAAAAUGACAAUUUGAAUAUGUUCUUAAAUGACUG